UGAAGAUUGUAUAUUAGUCUUCUUCCCCAUUAGCACUUCAACAGCAAGCAGGCAAGACAAUAGUGUUGACAUAACAGUAGCAUUACUACCAGAGAGCUGGGCAACCCCAAAUCGAUCUUCCACGUGCGAGCGUGCAGUCAACGUAGAAACCGUGCGGGCACACCAUGCAUACAACUGAAAGUUUUUAAGGGUUUCCAAUUGUUUUAUGUCGAA
rnacentral:misc_RNA from 1 species